rnacentral:rRNA from 1 species
UACGGAGGAUCCGAGCGUUAUCCGGAUUUACUGGGUUUAAAGGGUGCGUAGGCGGGCGCUUAAGUCAGCGGUGAAAUGCGGGGGCUCAACCUUCGAACGGCCGUUGAUACUGGGCGCCUUGGAUUCGGUCGAGGCGGGCGGAAUGCGACAUGUAGCGGUGAAAUGCUUAGAUAUGUCGCAGAACGCCGAUUGCGAAGGCAGCUCGCCGGGCCGAUAUUGACGCUGAGGCACGAAAGCGUGGGGAUCGAACAGG